UACAGAGGUCUCAAGCGUUGUUCGGAUUCAUUGGGCGUAAAGGGUGCGUAGGCGGCGCGGGUAAGUCGGGUGUGAAAUCUCGGAGCUUAACUCCGAAACUGCAUUCGAUACUGCCCUGGCUUGAGUCCGGUAGGGGAGCGCGGAAUUCCUGGUGUAGCGGUGAAAUGCGCAGAGAUCAGGAGGAACACCGGUGGCGAAGGCGGGUCUCUGGGCCGAUGACUGACGCUGGAGGAGCGAAAGCGUGGGGAGCGAACAGG
rnacentral:rRNA from 1 species